rnacentral:rRNA from 1 species
GGGGAGGCGGCUGCCUAUACAUGCAAGUCGAGCGGACAGAUGGGAGCUUGCUCCCUGAUGUUAGCGGCGGACGGGUGAGUAACACGUGGGUAACCUGCCUGUAAGACUGGGAUAACUCCGGGAAACCGGGGCUAAUACCGGAUGGUUGUUUGAACCGCAUGGUUCAAACAUAAAAGGUGGCUUCGGCUACCACUUACAGAUGGACCCGCGGCGCAUUAGCUAGUUGGUGAGGUAACGGCUCACCAAGGCAACGAUGCGUAGCCGACCUGAGAGGGUGAUCGGCCACACUGGGACUGAGACACGGCCCAGACUCCUACGGGAGGCAGCAGUAGGGAAUCUUCCGCAAUGGACGAAAGUCUGACGGAGCAACGCCGCGUGAGUGAUGAAGGUUUUCGGAUCGUAAAGCUCUGUUGUUAGGGAAGAACAAGUACCGUUCGAAUAGGGCGGUACCUUGACGGUACCUAACCAGAAAGCCACGGCUAACUACGUGCCAGCAGCCGCGGUAAUACGUAGGUGGCAAGCGUUGUCCGGAAUUAUUGGGCGUAAAGGGCUCGCAGGCGGUUUCUUAAGUCUGAUGUGAAAGCCCCCGGCUCAACCGGGGAGGGUCAUUGGAAACUGGGGAACUUGAGUGCAGAAGAGGAGAGUGGAAUUCCACGUGUAGCGGUGAAAUGCGUAUAGAUGUGGAGGAACACCAGUGGCGAAGGCGACUCUCUGGUCUGUGACUGACGCUGAGGAGCGAAAGCGUGGAGAGCGAACAGGAUUACAUACCCUGGUGUUCCACGCCGUAAACGAUGAGUGCUCGCUGUUAGGGGGGUUUCCGCCCCUCACUGCUGGAGCUAACGCAUUCAGUACUCCGCCUGCCCAGUACGGUCGCGCGGGGGGACUCAAAUGAAAUGUAAGAGACGGGCAGAAAAA